rfam:Lupinus angustifolius cultivar Tanjil chromosome LG01, whole genome shotgun sequence.
AAGAGCAUGAGAUAUUGGUACAGUUCAAUCAAAAAGCUGUGUUAUAUGAUUGAGCCGUGCCAAUAUCAUUGGCAAUCAC